ACAGAGACUGCGAGCGUUAUUCGGAUUCACUGGGCGUAAAGGGUGCGCAGGCGGCCGUGUGUGUAAGGUGUGAAAUCCCGGGGCUCAACCCCGGAACUGCGCCUUAAACUACAUGGCUAGAGUACUGGAGAGGGUAACGGAAUUCACGGUGUAGCAGUGAAAUGCGUAGAUAUCGUGAGGAACACCAGAGGCGAAGGCGGUUACCUGGACAGUUACUGACGCUCAGGCACGAAAGCAUGGGGAGCAAAAGGGAUUAGAUACCCCUGUAGUCCAUGCCCUAAACGGUGCACACUAGGUCUUGGCGGAUUCGACCCCACCAGGGCCCAAGCUAACGCGUUAAGUGUGCCGCCUGAGGACUACGGUCGCAAGACUA
rnacentral:rRNA from 1 species